rnacentral:lncRNA from 1 species
GCUAGCUUGAACAUUCUUUUGCUUAACUGCAUGGAGCGUUUUCCUGAUUGGCUCACGCUCUCCCCGGAAUCUGUGCCCGUGCCCUGCCUGCAUGCGCACGCCCUUUAUCUAUGAAGGACAGCAUCCCUUUGUCUACUUGGUCCUUGAAAACCAUUUUGUCCCAGUCUGCAUUAGCUUCUGCUUCAGGAGGUUUCUUUGAUUUUGCCUCCCAGUUACAUCUCCGGGUAAGGCUUCUUCCACUGGCCAAGAGCAGCUCUCAGGAGAAAGGUCAAUGUGAACCACCAGCACCAACACCAGCAGCAGCUAAUUCCAGGAAAGUCCCGUAAAUACCAACAGCAUCUGCUCCAAGGAGUAAACUCUCCAUAAAAGAAGUGUACCUUCCCACUGUUACAAGAAUUAAAUAAUGUUGCAAACCUCAUU